rnacentral:rRNA from 1 species
GACGAACGCUGGCGGCGUGCUUAACACAUGCAAGUCGAACGGAGAACCUCUUCGGAGGGGAUCAGUGGCGAAGGGGCGAGUAAGACGGGGGCAAGCUGCCCACGGCUCUGGGAUAACUCCAAGAAAUCGGGGCUAAUACGGGAAGAUCACCGCAUCCCGCAUGGGUGGUGGUGGAAAGGGUGUCCGGCGGGGGAUGGGCCCGCGGCCUAGCAGCUGGGUGGUGGAGUAGUGGCGUCCGACGGCGGCGACGGGUAGCCCGCCAGGGAGGGUGGCCGGCCACACUGGGACUGCGGCACGGCCCAGUAUCGUAUGGGCGGCAGCAGUGGGGAAUCUUGCGGAGUGGGCCGAAGCCUGACGCAGCGACGCCGCGUGGGUGAUGCCGUCCUUCGGGUUGUAAACCUCUGUCAGCGGGGCCGAAGCCCAAUUGACGGUACCUGCAGAGGAAGCCCCGGCCAACUACGUG